AACGAACGCUGGCGGCAGGCUUAACACAUGCAAGUCGAGCGCCCCGCAAGGGGAGCGGCAGACGGGGGAGUAACGCGUGGGAAUCUACCCAUCUCUACGGAAUAACGCAUGGAAACGUGUGCUAAUACCGUAUACGUCCUUCGGGAGAAAGACUUAUCGGAGAUGGAUGAGCCCGCGUUGGAUUAGCUAGUUGGUGGGGCAAAGGCCUACCAAGGCGACGAUCCAUAGCUGGUCUGAGAGGAUGAUAAGCCACACUGGGACUGAGACACGGCCCAGACUCCUACGGGAGGCAGCAGGGGGAAAUACUGGACAAUGGGCGCAAGCCUGAGCCAGCCAGGCCACGUAAGUGAUGAAGGCCCUAGGGUUGUAAAGCUCGUUCACCGGGGAAGAUAAUGACGGUAACCGGAGAAGAAGCCCCGGCUAACUUCGUGCCAGCCGCCGCCGUAACAC
rnacentral:rRNA from 1 species